rnacentral:piRNA from 1 species
UGAGAGGUGGACUCAUGAUUACUACAGG